rnacentral:rRNA from 1 species
GACGAACGCUGGCGGCGUGCUUAACACAUGCAAGUCGAACGAUGAAGCCGGAGCUUGCUCCGGUGGAUUAGUGGCGAACGGGUGAGUAACACGUGAGCAAUCUGCCCUCGACUCUGGGAUAACUGCGGGAAACUGUAGCUAAUACCGGAUACGACACCUUGGGGCAUCCCAGGGUGUGGAAAGAAUUUCGGUCAAGGAUGAGCUCGCGGCCUAUCAGCUAGUUGGUGAGGUAAUGGCUCACCAAGGCGACGACGGGUAGCCGGCCUGAGAGGGGGACCGGCCACACUGGAACUGAGACACGGUCCAGACUCCUACGGGAGGCAGCAGUGGGGAAUAUUGCACAAUGGGCGAAAGCCUGAUGCAGCAACGCCGCGUGAGGGAUGAAGGCCUUCGGGUUGUAAACCUCUUUUAGCAGGGAAGAAGCGAAAGUGACGGUACCUGCAGAAAAAGCACCGGCUAACUACGUGCCAGCCGCCGCGGUAA